UGAAUAGGCACAGGAAUUGUGGAAAGAUGAGGACAAGAUAGCAGACAACAAUGGAUAAAUAGAUAUGAUUCAUGCUGACAAAAUUGAAACAGUAAUCAAUAUUGAUAAUUAAUAUUUGGAAAUAAAAAACCAGUUAAAGGUGUCAUGCCAAGCAAGAAAGGGAGAGGAGGGGUCCACCCCCAACCUUCUCCUGCAGAUGUUCAGAACAGGAGGAAGCAAGAGAUAAAUAUGACUAAAUUUCGUUGGAAGAGAGGAGAAUUUGGUUGGACACCAGGAAAAUGUUUAUUGUAGCAGGCACAGGGCCUGCACGGCCUCCCUGGCGAUCAGAAGCCUGAGCUAGGAAAUGCCAAAGAGUAGCAUGACUAAGGCUUUAGAAACCCCUCUCUUCCGCCUUUCCGGACCCUGUUAUCUCCCUGUAUAUCCAUAGGUCACUUUUCCCCUGACCCUUACUAUUGGACAGUUUUCAAAACCCCUGUAAGGUAUAAAACCCCUAACUCUGCCCACUUCGGGAGAGAAGAGCUGUCACUGGACCCUUCGCGGAGACCCGAAUAAAAGAACCCUGCGGAACCCAUACAGCGCUUCUCCCUCUCUCUCUGCGUCUGCUGCGGCGGCGGUACCGACGGCACCAGGCAAGCUAAAAGAGCUGAAAUCACUAAAGAGCUGACUGCAAAUCACUAUAGCCUGCCUGGGUUGCCUGAGCCCCCCGCUGAGCUAUCCUGGCCCUCCGCUGAGCUAUCCUGGCCGGCCGGCAUUCCCCGCUGGGCUUCUGCCCUGAGGGUAAUAGCCCAGCCAUAGAUGGUGCACCGAACAUAGCGGACGCCCGAACAGCGAGGGGCCCCUGGGCCGACAUCUGAACCGCCGUGAUAUCCUGGCCGCGGAACUGAAUGCCGGACCUGGCAUUUCAGAGGAGCAGCAUUUCUUCGUGAAAUUGUCACUGCCUCCGCGCCAGAAAUCCUGGAAGGAGAAGCUCUCCGUUAUAGAAGGACUCUUCUGGACAGGAGGUCAGCCGACCCGCACCCCGACACCUGAACACUUGUUCAUGGAGGCUGAUGAGCAGACGACCCCCAGCAGAACUUUGACCCACAACAGGCUGAAAAGUAACGUCCUUGUGGACCUGGGCACGGGCAAGGCGAAGCUCAUCGACUUCAGGUGCGGCACGAUCCUCCAGGACAUGUUCUACACCUAGAUGUCAGCUCUCCUUCCUCUGAGCCCCACAUGCAGCAGAGAGAAGGAGAAUGGGGAAAAUGGCACCGGCAAUGAUGAUGACAGAAGAAAAAAAGAGGAGUUGAGUUCAGAGGAAAAAGGAUGUAAGGUAAGGAGACCAAGCUAAGUCCUGUGUGGUAGAUUUUUGGUUCAUGUGCUGUAGGUGUAGCUCUGAGAACUUUUCUUGUGGUGUGGGCCCAGGGAAGCAGCUGGCCAAGGACGAGCUCACUGUGCUUCAAGCUGUGUCCAGAGGGAAGGGAUGGCUGGUCCAUGGGGACAGCAGCCCAGAUCCCAGGCACACGAUUGCCUUUGCAGCAGGGCCAGGACGUGCAGUUGUUUUGGGUUUGCUCUGGCAUACAGGAGGAGGCAGAUGAACAACAGCUUUGGUAGACAGAAUGUCCAAUUAAAGGUUUGGGAACUUGAUUUCAGCCUUGCAGAGAAAGGGCCCAAUGUAUACAGGAACUGACCCUUUCAGUGUACUUUGAACAGGUCCUGAUUUGGCUCUCUAGCUGGGCCAGAAAUGAUGGGAUACUAAGCAUGGAUGUGCAUCUGCCCCUGCUGCCUCCUCCCCCAUUCCUGGCCCUGGCAUGGGGGCCCUGGAGCAAGUUGGGCAGGCAGAGACCUUGCAGAGAGCAGCAGGGCAGGGAGCUCUGCUGAACUCCCUAAAUGGCAGUAAGGCUGAGAUGAUGGAUGUGUGGGAGCUGGAGAGCAGCGAGCAUCCCGAGAGCUCAGCAGCAGCAUCUGGGCUCCAAGGCUGCUGGGGAAGUGUAGGAGGGAAGGGCAGCAGCAGCAGAAAUGAGAGGCUUGAGACAAACAGGUUUGGACAUGCUGCAGAAUGGUUUUGUGGGGAUUUGGCUGGAGAUCAGCACUGGCUGUGAGACACCUUAGGGGCAGGGAGAGAACAGUGAUCUAAACCCACUUCCAUGGCAUCCAAAAGGCCAGGGGACGCAGUGGCACCCCAGAACACCUUGAUGUCAAACGUAUGGAUGCCAGCUGGGAAUGCAGCCACACUUGCAGAGCAGUGAGCAGGAGGUGAGCACAGAACUCAUCUAGGUAGAGAACUUUUGACUAGACAGGUUCUUUUGGAUCCAUUGUCCCCCAGACAUGUCAAUGUGUGGCCCUGUUGUCAUGACAAGUCAAAAACAGCAGCACAAGUGACACAAAGAAAACAUGGCAAAAGAGGAAGAGGAGAGGCCCAGCAAGGAAGGGAUGUGGUGAGACACUGGCACAUCAAGUGAGCUGCACUCCCAUAAUCUCCAGGCUAGGAGAUCCUGGUCUCAUAUUCUCCUUUGGUUUAUAUAAAUUUUAUUUAUUUUUUUAGUUUUUUAAAAUCAUCAAAAUAAAAUAUAUACAAUUAAAAUAUCUCAUCAAAAUUUAAAUAUACAAUCAAACACAUUUAUUCAAAACUAUCAGAACACAGAUACAUCCGUAACUAUGAAGCCUAAACCUAUUCCAAAAUCCUAACUCCUAUUGCGGAUAAUCCUAUUCUUGAUGAAUCCUAACCUGGGUGAAUCCUAUUCUUGAUGAAUCCUAAUCUGGAUGAAUCCUAUAGUUGAUGAAUCCUAUUCUUGAUGAAUGCUCUUCUUGGUGAAUCCUCUUCUUGAUAAUCCUAAAGCCUAAAUCCUAACUUGAAAUAUUCUUUGGACAGUCGGCAGCUUCUUCCUGAUCUUGGAGAAAGGGCGCUUCUGGACUGCAGGCAAGGACUUUCCUGGUAAGGGAAUAGUGGAAAUGUCCAGAGAAAACUUCUUGGAAAGACUGUAGCCGGUCGUAUCUGUGGAGACACAAAGUUUAACAGAGCCUGGAAUGCAAACCUAAAGCAUCUGAAGCUCCGUAUU